AUUGAACGCUGGCGGCAGGCCUAACACAUGCAAGUCGAGCGGAUGAAGGGAGCUUGCUCCUGGAUUCAGCGGCGGACGGGUGAGUAAUGCCUAGGAAUCUGCCUGGUAGUGGGGGAUAACGUCCGGAAACGGGCGCUAAUACCGCAUAUGUCCUGAGGGAGAAAGUGGGGGAUCUUCGGACCUCACGCUAUCAGAUGAGCCUAGGUCGGAUUAGCUAGUUGGUGGGGUAAAGGCCUACCAAGGCGACGAUCCGUAACUGGUCUGAGAGGAUGAUCAGUCACACUGGAGCUGAGACACGGUCCAGACUCCUACGGGAGGCAGCAGUGGGGAAUAUUGGACAAUGGGCGAAAGCCUGAUCCAGCCAUGCCGCGUGUGUGAAGAAGGUCUUCGGAUUGUAAAGCACUUUAAGUUGGGAGGAAGGGCAGUAAGUUAAUACCUUGCUGUUUUGACGUUACCAACAGAAUAAGCACCGGCUAACUUCGUG
rnacentral:rRNA from 1 species